ACUCCUACGGGAGGCAGCAGUGGGGAAUAUUGCACAAUGGGCGCAAGCCUGAUGCAGCCAUGCCGCGUGUGUGAAGAAGGCCUUCGGUUGUAAAGCACUUUCAGUUGUGAGGAAGGUGGUGUCGUUAAUAGCGGCAUCAUUUGACGUUAGCAACAGAAGAAGCACCGGCUAACUCCGUGCCAGCAGCCGCGGUAAUACGGAGGGUGCGAGCGUUAAUCGGAAUUACUGGGCGUAAAGCGCAUGCAGGUGGUUUGUUAAGUCAGAUGUGAAAGCCCGGGGCUCAACCUCGGAACUGCAUUUGAAACUGGCAGACUAGAGUACUGUAGAGGGGGUAGAAUUUCAGGUGUAGCGGUGAAAUGCGUAGAGAUCUGAAGGAUACCGGUGGCGAAGGCGGCCCCCUGGACAGAUACUGACACUCAGAUGCGAAAGCGUGGGGAGCAAACAGGAUUAGAUACCCUGGUAGCACAGAG
rnacentral:rRNA from 1 species